GGACUUUAAUUAGUAUGUUCUAUGUUGACUUGACAGGAACAUGGUUUCAGGACAGGCAGUCCGGCUGGACGACUUGACUCCCACGAUCUAGAUGAGUCUUUGGAGCUGUGGAAUGUGAUAGAGAACCAAACCAUGACGGUCCAGGCACACGAAGG